rnacentral:rRNA from 1 species
UACGUAGGGUGCGAGCGUUAAUCGGAAUUACUGGGCGUAAAGCGUGCGCAGGCGGUUUUGUAAGCCAGAUGUGAAAUCCCCGGGCUUAACCUGGGAAUGGCAUUUGGGACUGCAAAGCUUGAGUGUGGCAGAGGGGACUGGAAUUCCUGGUGUAGCAGUGAAAUGCGUAGAGAUCAGGAGGAAUACCGAUGGCGAAGGCAGGUCCCUGGGCUGACACUGACGCUCAUGCACGAAAGCGUGGGGAGCAAACCGG